rnacentral:rRNA from 1 species
GAUGAACGCUGGCGGCGUGCCUAAUACAUGCAAGUCGAGCGAACGGACGAGAAGCUUGCUUCUCUGAUGUUAGCGGCGGACGGGUGAGUAACACGUGGAUAACCUACCUAUAAGACUGGGAUAACUUCGGGAAACCGGAGCUAAUACCGGAUAAUAUUUUGAACCGCAUGGUUCAAAAGUGAAAGACGGUCUUGCUGUCACUUAUAGAUGGAUCCGCGCUGCAUUAGCUAGUUGGUAAGGUAACGGCUUACCAAGGCAACGAUGCAUAGCCGACCUGAGAGGGUGAUCGGCCACACUGGAACUGAGACACGGUCCAGACUCCUACGGGAGACAGCAGUAGGGAAUCUUCCGCAAUGGGCGAAAGCCUGACGGAGCAACGCCGCGUGAGUGAUGAAGGCCUUCGGAUCGUAAAACUCUGUUAUUAGGGAAGAACAUAUGUGUAAGUAACUGUGCACAUCUUGACGGUACCUAAUCAGAAAGCCACGGCUAACUACGUGCCAGCAGCCGCGGUAAUACGUAGGUGGCAAGCGUUAUCCGGAAUUAUUGGGCGUAAAGCGCGCGUAGGCGGUUUUUUAAGUCUGAUGUGAAAGCCCACGGCUCAACCGUGGAGGGUCAUUGGAAACUGGAAAACUUGAGUGCAGAAGAGGAAAGUGGAAUUCCAUGUGUAGCGGUGAAAUGCGCAGAGAUAUGGAGGAACACCAGUGGCGAAGGCGACUUUCUGGUCUGUAACUGACGCUGAUGUGCGAAAGCGUGGGGAUCAAACAGGAUUAGAUACCCUGGUAGUCCACGCCGUAAACGAUGAGUGCUAAGUGUUAGGGGGUUUCCGCCCCUUAGUGCUGCAGCUAACGCAUUAAGCACUCCGCCUGGGGAGUACGACCGCAAGGUUGAAACUCAAAGGAAUUGACGGGGACCCGCACAAGCGGUGGAGCAUGUGGUUUAAUUCGAAGCAACGCGAAGAACCUUACCAAAUCUUGACAUCCUUUGACAACUCUAGAGAUAGAGCCUUCCCCUUCGGGGGACAAAGUGACAGGUGGUGCAUGGUUGUCGUCAGCUCGUGUCGUGAGAUGUUGGGUUAAGUCCCGCAACGAGCGCAACCCUUAAGCUUAGUUGCCAUCAUUAAGUUGGGCACUCUAAGUUGACUGCCGGUGACAAACCGGAGGAAGGUGGGGAUGACGUCAAAUCAUCAUGCCCCUUAUGAUUUGGGCUACACACGUGCUACAAUGGACAAUACAAAGGGCAGCGAAACCGCGAGGUCAAGCAAAUCCCAUAAAGUUGUUCUCAGUUCGGAUUGUAGUCUGCAACUCGACUACAUGAAGCUGGAAUCGCUAGUAAUCGUAGAUCAGCAUGCUACGGUGAAUACGUUCCCGGGUCU